GGCUUGGAUUCAACUUGUGUUAGUGAAUCGAUGCGAUGGUGGAAGAUUUUUGGAUGAUAUUACGAAUUCUUCACCAGUUUCAGACAAAGCUGAGAUACAUCUACUACAUCUAUACGUAAGUUUUCCCCGGUGCUCUAGAAGCUCAGUCGAUCGCGUGGAUGGCAGCUGCAACGCCACUCCAUGGGAAAAUACAACUACAACUACACGUACACAUGUACACAUAAAUAUGAUGCUCUUACAAUCGAGUUCAUCGCUUUUACGGACUCUUUGGAUUAUAAAAAGAGAAAACUAUUGAUAGCGCUGUUCAUUGACUGGAUAUAAUAUGAAGAAUUUAUUAGAGAAUUUGUUCUCACAUCAAUUAGCGCAGAAUUCGUGCUAAUUGCAAGUGGGAUACAAGUUUCAGAGAAAAAACCUUAUCUUU